rnacentral:rRNA from 1 species
UCUUGGUCAUUUAGAGGAAGUAAAAGUCGUAACAAGGUCUCCGUUGGUGAACCAGCGGAGGGAUCAUUGUUGGAACGCGCUUCGGCGCACCUCCAGACAACCCUUUGUGAACUUAUACCUAUACUGUUGCCUCGGCGUCAGGCUGGCUCCCCUCGGGGGGUCCCUCACCAUCUCGGUGAGGAGCAGGCCCGCCGGCGGCCAAGUUAACUCUUGUUUUUACACUGAAACUCUGAGAAUAAAACAAAAAUGAAUCAAAACUUUCAACAACGGAUCUCUUGGUUCUGGCAUCGAUGAAGAACGCAGCGAAAUGCGAUAAGUAAUGUGAAUUGCAGAAUUCAGUGAAUCAUCGAAUCUUUGAACGCACAUUGCGCCCUCUGGUAUUCCGGAGGGCAUGCCUGUUCGAGCGUCAUUUCAACCCUCAAGCCUGGCUUGGUGAUGGGACACUGCCUUUGAGAAAAGGCAGGUCCUGAAAUUCAGUGGCGAGCUCGCCAGGACCCCGAGCGCAGUAGUUAAACCCUCGCUUUGGAAGGUCUUGGUGCGGCCCUGCCGUU